rnacentral:tRNA from 1 species
UCCUAAAUGACUGAGUUAAAGUAAUAGAUUUUUAAUCUAAAAUAUGACAUUUUAU